rnacentral:rRNA from 1 species
CCUACGGGUGGCUGCAGUGGGGAAUAUUGGACAAUGGGCGAAAGCCUGAUCCAGCCAUGCCGCGUGUGUGAAGAAGGCCUUCGGGUUGUAAAGCACUUUCAGUGGGGAAGAAAGCCUUGGGGCUAAUACCCUCGAGGAAGGACAUCACCCACAGAAGAAGCACCGGCUAACUCCGUGCCAGCAGCCGCGGUAAUACGGAGGGUGCGAGCGUUAAUCGGAAUUACUGGGCGUAAAGCGCGCGUAGGCGGUCUGAUAAGCCGGUUGUGAAAGCCCCGGGCUCAACCUGGGAACGGCAUCCGGAACUGUCAGGCUAGAGUGCAGGAGAGGAAGGUAGAAUUCCCGGUGUAGCGGUGAAAUGCGUAGAGAGCGGGAGGAAUACCAGUGGCGAAGGCGGCCUUCUGGACUGACACUGACGCUGAGGUGCGAAAGCGUGGGUAGCAAACAGGAUUAGAUACCCCUGUAGUC